GCAGUUUUCCCGUAGGUUGGCGAUAUCGAACGGUGAUCAUUUAAUUGGCUAAUCAAGUCCCAUUUUCAGUAAAAGUGUCUGUUCCAUGUCAUUCCAUGCGUUUUUUCUAUAAUUAGCCAUCCACAGACCGGAUACAAUUUCAGCAUUUCAUCCAAUAGUCAACUUUAAUAUUGAAGUGUCCACAUGCACAAUAAAGACUGUAUAUAUUUCAUUGCCAUUUCAGAAUAGAUUUCUCAUAAAAGACAGCAAACGAGCUCUGUAAAUGCUCCUUAAGUCUAAAAAACAGUUGAUGCAAGUGAAAUGGGCAACUAUGGCUUAUAUAAUUUUCUUGUCCGUCUGAAUGUUUUGUUUUAUUGUUUGCAUGCAUUAUCACUUUGCAGCACAAACAGUAAAGGGCCUGUCCUUAUGACCUGUGGUGCAUAUAAGCCGUACAAUGGCUGGUGUGCACCUGCUGUCAUAGGGAUAAAGUAUGGAACUAGCGUAAAUCUAAGCUUUUUCUGAACGUGCAUAAUAAUAACGUUUUAAACUUGAGGUUAAAAAUAAACUCACCUUUUCAUUUAAGAUGUGGAGGCGCAGAGAUUGUUGGACAAUAAGGACGCUGAACUGGGUCCUCAGUAGGCUACUAGUAAAAUAAUGACCCUUUGAAUGUAUGCUUCUGUAAACAGCAGCGCCUUUUCCUCUCUUCCGACCGUACAGGCUCGUACAGCGUAGAUGGCUGAUUCACCCUUUCUCUUUGUAUACUUUGAAAAGGGAGAUGACGCAAUUGGUGGACAAUUGUGCAAACUCUGCAAAAGUAAUAUUUUUAUGCCACAAAUAGAAUCUCCAUUAAAAUCAAAUUCCAUCAAAACUCUACAAAAUGUUUCUCAUCAGACUUUCACACAAUGACCCAUCAGAACUUCCCAGGCUUGUAUAGUGUCUUAGGCAUGUACAUUAUGGGUACAUACUUUCUUUACACUCAGCCUUGUGGACCUGCUUCUGCAGAAUCUCCCAAAAUUAUUCUCCACAGGCCUUGAGCUGUAUUUUACUGUUAACCCUUAAGUUUUACAAAGUUUCAAAAGAGUUUUGUGAAGCCAGGAUAUACACUGUAGGCCUGAGACUGCAGGCCUACAGUGUAUCUGCACCAGCAAUAUAUCUGAUGAGCUCGUUUUAUAAAUCCCCUUGGUUCAUUUGUUGUGAUAAAGCUGUCACACUCAUCAGAUGUGCAUUUUUUUUUCUCACAGUUAUCUUUUUUAAUUAAUCUACAACCUUUGAAAUGUGCUUCCUCUUUGCUGAAAUCUGGAGCCUUUUAUUUAUAUCGUGCCAAACAUUUUGUCACAGCCUCUGGCUGAGAGGUCAAAAUAUUUUCAAGGACAUCUAGGAGCUGAGGGCACUGGCUGACUUCCAUUUGAUAUAGAAAUGAUCUAAGCGGUCCCUGUUAAGCAUAUGCUGCCAGUCGUCAGGCUGGAUGGAGAGAAGGGCGCCUUGAUGGUGACUUCACUGACACCAACAACUUCCUGACGCAACGCUGCUGUAACAGCGGCGGGGAAACAGGGAGCUCACCUUUUUAUCCGAUGAACCAACAUGAUCCUAUUUCUGCAUAGUAAGCCGUCUCAGCUCCCCCUCCCCUCGGUUCCAAGAACAGUGACGGGCUCGUUACAUCAAAGAAUAGUCUGUUUAUGAUUCAAUGUUCUACAACAUGGGGGCAAGAAGCCUCAUUCGUUACUCUACUUGUUGCAUUGUUUUACUUUGCCGUCAGAAAGCAGGAAACCCAAUUACCUGGCCUGUUAGGGAAUUCCAAAAUUGUCCUUCCAUCUUUUUUUUUUUGUUUGUUUGUUUUAUAAAACCUGCUUCCACCAAGGUAAGGUAAACUUUUUGCCACAUAUAAUCUAUGAAAGGGAGCGAGUAACCUGCCAAGAAAAGGAAUGGAUGGAUGGGAUCAUUAGCCUACUCAACUUCAGUCCGGCGUUUAAGAUGAAGGAAAAGUGAAUUCGUGUGAUAGCAAAGAGUUUUUCACGGGAAGGAAAUCGUAAGUCUCUAUACUCCUGCUCCUUGUUGGUGGUAACGCGUUACCGAGCAUCUCGUUACCGCCCUGCACUGUCCGGGAACAAGCAGAGUUUGAAGUCGAAAGGCGUGUAGGCUGCAUGCGCUCUCGUUGUGAAGAAUCUGGUUCGAAGAAGUAACCGACAGAAAGCCUAUGAGCGCCAUUGAAAGCAAGCGAGGAAGCCUGUAUAAUCUGUAGUUCUGUAAAGAAAUCCGAGUCACCGAGCCGGGCUAUGCAAAUGUAUCCGUUCCUCUACGCGCGCACGGGGCGCACCGACCUGUAGUAGCCUGAUCUUGGGCAGCCUAUCGGACCUGGGCACCGUGUACGGUGUAGCUUGUCUAUUUCACUUUGGAGAGAUGCUGGUCGUCCCAGACACGUGAGCUGAGCAGAUGAGACGAGUUUAUCGCGGAUUUGGAUGAGGGGUUUUCUGUGCGUUAAUGGCCAGACGUGCGAACUAGGCUAUGGUGCGCUCAGAUGUUUGUUUUUUUUCUUUCUCCCUCUCGGUCGCUCUCCGUAUCCACCGCUCCGCCUCCCCCUUUUCGCAACAUUGACGCAACCAAAAAUACUGGAACAAAAGAAACAACUUCCUUGAAGCUUUGCUGAAACUGCACUUAGUCGGAGAAUGGAAGCUUGUUGUCAACUUGCCUGGAUGGAAAUGUCGAGGUGAGGGUGUCACCAGUGGCCGGCUGGCAGCGAGAGAGAUGCAGUCGAUCACUCCGAAAGGCAUCCAGGCUAUCGAGUGGUGAACCUCCUUGCCUGCUUUUAGGAGUGGACAGAAGACUUAAAUCUGCAAAAGAUGCUGAUGAUCAUCUGAACGUCUUUAGCCUGGUGAAUAUUUCACACGGGCCCUGUUAUGCAACGGUUGUAACCUUGAAGAGGUUGCAGCAUCACUGUGGUGCGGACGCGCUCUGCGGGGAUGAGGCCAGGGCUUGCACUGUAUAUUUCUUUUAUCACUCACUUGCUUACUUCAAAGGCUGGCUUUUGCCCCGUAAUAGUUGGCUGAUUUAGCCUGUCAUACUAAAUAAAAACAAACAUGGAAGUGA